rnacentral:rRNA from 1 species
AUUGAACGCUGGCGGCAUGCUUUACACAUGCAAGUCGAACGGACCUAGGGGCUUGCUCCUAGGUUAGUGGCGAACGGGUGAGUAAUGCAUCGGAACGUACCGUGUAAUGGGGGAUAACGCAGCGAAAGUUGUGCUAAUACCGCAUACGAUCUACGGAUGAAAGCAGGGGAUCGCAAGACCUUGCGCUAUCGGAGCGGCCGAUAUCAGAUUAGCUUGUUGGUGGGGUAAAAGCCUACCAAGGCGACGAUCUGUAGCUGGUCUGAGAGGACGACCAGCCACACUGGGACUGAGACACGGCCCAGACUCCUACGGGAGGCAGCAGUGGGGAAUUUUGGACAAUGGGCGCAAGCCUGAUCCAGCCAUGCCGCGUGCAGGAAGACGGCCUUCUGGGUUGUAAACUGCUUUUUCUAGGGGAUAAAAGGCCCGUGCGCGGGACAUUGAAGUACCUGGAGAAUAAGCCACGGCUAACUACGUGCCAGCAGCCGAC